rnacentral:rRNA from 1 species
CACAGCACUUUGCCAACUCGUAAGAGGAAGUAUAAGGUGUGACGCCUGCCCGGUGCUCGAAGGUUAAGAGGAUGCGUCAGUCGCAAGAUGAAGCGUUGAAUUGAAGCCCGAGUAAACGGCGGCCGUAACUAUAACGGUCCUAAGGUAGCGAAAUUCCUUGUCGGUUAAAUACCGACCUGCAUGAAUGGCGUAACGAGAUGGGAGCUGUCUCAACCAGAGAUUCAGUGAAAUUGUAGUGGAGGUGAAAAUUCCUCCUACCCGCGGCAAGACGGAGAGACCCCGUGGACCUUUACUACAACUUAGCACUGCUAAUGGGAAUAUCAUGCGCAGGAUAGGUGGGAGGCUUUGAAGUAAGGGCUUUGGCUC